AACGAACGCUGGCGGCGCGCCUAAUACAUGCAAGUCGAGCGAGAAGACGUAGCAAUACGUUUGUAAAGCGGCGAACGGGUGAGGAAUACAUGGGUAACCUACCCUCGAGUGGGGAAUAGCUAGCCGAAAGGUUAGCUAAUACCGCGUACGCUCCUUGGACUUCGGUUCUAGGGAGGAAAGCGAUACCGUGGGUAUCGCGCUCUUGGAUGGGCUCAUGUCCUAUCAGCUUGUUGGNGAGGUAACGGCUCACCAAGGCUUCGACGGGUAGCUGGUCUGAGAGGACGAUCAGCCACACUGGCACUGCGACACGGGCCAGACUCCUACGGGAGGCAGCAGUAAGGAAUAUUGCGCAAUGGGCGAAAGCCUGACGCAGCGACGCCGCGUGGGGGAUGAAGGUCUUCGGAUUGUAAACCCCUUU
rnacentral:rRNA from 1 species